rnacentral:lncRNA from 1 species
CUUUCAAUCCGCUGCCAUCCGCGGCUUGGGGGUCGAAGGUCCGGGCGGCGCCGGGUGCAUUCCUUCCCUAGGUCUCUGGCGGCUACGUAUCCGAUCCUGUCCUGCGAGCAGGGCCCUCGGGCGGCCUUGACCAAGGCGACAGUGAACACAGUCUGAAGUUCCGGCCCAAGACCUGGGCUUGCUGGCAGGAGUCAGCUCUGGGCAUCUUUGGCUUUACGGAUUUUUAAGUGGCCCUUUCUCCUUGCUCUCUGCAGAAAUGGGCAAGUUCAUGAAACCUGGGAAGGUGGUGCUUGUCCUGGCUGGACGCUACUCCGGACGCAAAGCUGUCAUCGUGAAGGUACUCUGUGGAUAUCCCCUUGGACAAAACUGUCGUCAAUAAGGAUGUCUUCAGAGAUCCUGCUCUUAAACGCAAGGCCCGACGGGAGGCCAAGGUCAAGUUUGAAGAGAGAUACAAGACAGGCAAGAACAAGUGGUUCUUCCAGAAACUGCGGUUUUAGAUGCUUUGUUUUGAUCAUUAAAAAUUAUAAAG